rnacentral:rRNA from 1 species
UACGUAGGUGGCGAGCGUUGUCCGGAAUUACUGGGCGUAAAGGGUGCGUAGGCGGAUUGUUAAGUGGGAUGUGAAAUGCCGGGGCUCAACCCCGGAAUGGCAUUCCAAACUGGUAAUCUAGAGUGCAGGAGAGGAAAGCGGAAUUCCUAGUGUAGCGGUGAAAUGCGUGGAUAUUAGGAAGAACACCAGUGGCGAAGGCGGCUUUCUGGACUGUAACUGACGCUGAGGCACGAAAGCGUGGGGAGCAAACAGGAUUAGAUACCCUGGUAGUCCACGCUGUAAACGAUGAGUGCUAGGUGUAGGGGGUAUCGACACCCUCUGUGCCGCAGUAAACGCAAUAAGCACUCCGCCUGGGGAGUACGGUCGCAAGACUAAA